UCUGCCCGGGAAUUUCCUAGUCUGUGGGCAAUAAAAACGCGGCGUCCACUCACCCUCUGCGCUUUCACGGGGAGCUGCAAUCCUGAGCUGUUCCUAAACGGCCAUCUUGGAUCGUCCCCCCAGGAUGACAAUUCUUAAGAAUCCAAUGAUUUCCAGACCAAUGUAGUAUUGGUGUUCCUCUAAUUUCUUCCUUUAAUGUAUUUUCUGACCUUAUAGCAAUAAGAUAAAUGAAUUAUCAUACUGAGUGAGAUCUAUGGCAUUC